CCUACGGGAGGCAGCAGUAGGGAAUCUUCCACAAUGGGCGAAAGCCUGAUGGAGCAACGCCGCGUGGGUGAAGAAGGUCUUCGGAUCGUAAAACCCUGUUUUUAGAGAAGAAAGUGCGUGAGCGUAACUGUUCACGUUUCGACGGUAUCUAACCAGAAAGCCACGACUAACUACGUGCCAGCAGCCGCGGUAAUACGUAGGUGGCAAGCGUUAUCCGGAUUUAUUGGGCGUAAAGGGAACGCAGGCGGUCUUUUAAGUCUGAUGUGAAAUCCUUCGGCUUAACCGGAGUAGUGCAUUGGAAACUGGGAGACUUGAGUGCAGAAGAGGAGAGUGGAACUCCAUGUGUAGCGGUGAAAUGCGUAGAUAUAUGGAAGAACACCAGUGGCGAAAGCGGCUCUCUGGUCUGUAACUGACGCUGAGGUUCGAAAGCGUGGGUAGCAAACAGGAUUAGAUACCCCAGUAGUC
rnacentral:rRNA from 1 species